rnacentral:rRNA from 1 species
CCUACGGGCGGCAGCAGUGGGGCAUAUUGGGCAAUGGAGGCAACUCUGACCCAGCAACGCCGCGUGAAUGAUGCAGGUCUUCGGAUUGUAAAGUUCUGUGAUGGGGGAUGAACACAAUGACGGUACCCCAAUAGCAAGCCACGGCUAACUACGUGCCAGCAGCCGCGGUAAUACGUAGGUGGCAAGCGUUAUCCGGCAUGACUGGGCGUAAAGGGUGCGUAGGUGGUUUAGUAAGUUGGCGGUGUAAUUCCGGGGCUCAACCUCGGCGCUACCGCCAAAACUAUUAGACUAGAGUGCAGGGGGGGUAAGUGGAAUUCCUAGUGUAGCGGUGGAAUGCGUAGAUAUUAGGAGGAACAUCAGGGGCGAAGGCGACUUACUGGACUGUAACUGACACUGAGGCACGAAAGCGUGGGGAGCAAACAGGAUUAGAUACCCCAGUAGUC